rnacentral:hammerhead_ribozyme from 1 species
AUCCAUCUGACGAGUCCUAAAUAGGACGAAAUGUGCGUCAAACUGGAU